UUUUGGCAAAAGGAAGACUUAAACUCCCCUAGAUGAAUUUACAGCUCACCGCCUAAUCUCUCAGCCAUUUUACCA
rnacentral:tRNA from 1 species